rnacentral:rRNA from 1 species
UACGGAGGGUGCGAGCGUUGUCCGGAUUUAUUGGGUUUAAAGGGUGCGUAGGUGGCUGAUUAAGUCAGUGGUGAAAUACAGCCGCUCAACGGUUGAGGUGCCAUUGAUACUGAUCAGCUUGAAAUAAUUGGAGGCUGCCGGAAUGGAUGGUGUAGCGGUGAAAUGCAUAGAUAUCAUCCAGAACACCGAUUGCGAAGGCAGGUGGCUACGAUUUAUUUGACACUGAGGCACGAAAGCAUGGGGAGCAAACAGG